UUAGUGCAAUGUCAGAUAAAUUUAAAUAAAUUGUCAUUAGUAUUUCCCAAAAUUAAAAAAAAUUGCAAUCGUUAAAAUAUCGCAAAGAAAAAUCGGUAUUCGAUAAUAUUAAUAUAUCGUUAUUGAUUCAACAGCGUUUGUUUUGGAGUAGUGGGUUGUAUAUUUUGGACUACGCGUUAUCAGGAAAGUAAUUUGUUAUUUGUUCAAAACACAAUGCAUAAUAACAAUUACUCAAACAUUUAAUUACUUUCAGUUACUUCCAAAACAAAAUCCUGGACGGCGGCCAAGGAAAGAACAUUUCUUCGUGUGUGAUACAAUAACUUGAACAUAAUGCACAGUGCUCUUCUCCUAGUAGGCUAUGAUUUUUUUUUAUAAAUUUUUGUCUACUUUUAUAAAUGAAUAAAUGAAUAAUGCUCAGUCGGAAACAAAAAAUUGAAGCUGAAAAAAGAAAAAUUAACUUUAGCUAGAAUAAUAAAUGGAUAAAAAAGGUAUAGUGAACAGGCCUUCGUCGUCUUUGUCUCUAAGAGACAAGAAAAUUUGUCUGGACGUAUGGAAACGAUGUCAUUAUUUUAAUACUUCGGAAAGUUUCAUUGAUAAUAUGUCACCCAUGUUGAAUGAUACGAGCUAUCAGCCUGAUUGUCCACCAACAAAAAAAUCGAGAGCAGUAGACGAAACUAAUGUCAACGCUUUGGAGGAGUCUUUGGAGGAUGGUUCCGUGAGGAUGCUAGGUGAAGCUCCUCAAAAUGAACCUGAGUUGGACAUGUCGAAUCAAAUCGAAGAUUCAGUAGAAGAAAAGAGACCAAGUAAUAACCAAAGCUGCGACACAAAAUCGAAAUUCAUUUAUGAAUUUUCUGAAUUAAUUGGUAAAGAACUUAGUUUUCUAAAGAACGAUAUGCUAAUUGACGCAAAACGUCAAAUUUUCAACGUUAUAUGUUCUAUACAAAUGAAACAAUUGUCACAAACACAAUAAUAUUUACUAUAAAUGAGCAUAGAUAAAUAAGUUUUCAUUUUAA